rnacentral:rRNA from 1 species
UACGAAAGGAGCUUGUGUUAUUCGGUCAAAUUGGGUGUAAAGGGUUUUAAAGCAGUUUUUUGAUAGUUAAAAAUUAAAUGUCAGAGCUAAACUUUGGAAUAUUUUUUAAAACGAAAAUUCUGGAGUAGUUUGCGGGUUAAUAGUAGUUUUUCAAUAAGAGUCAAAUCUGUUAAUAGAAAAAGGAGGACCAAAGGCGAAGGCAAUUAACCAGCUUCUUACUGACGCUGAAGAACUAAAGUAUAGGUAGCAAACAGGAUUAGGGACCCUGGUAGUCUAUACCUUCACUAAUAAAUGUUAAAUGUUGGAAGAUUUUUUUGAUAUUACAGCUAACGCGUUAAACAUUUCACCUGAGAAGUACGAUCGCAAGAUUAAAACUCAAAGAAAUUGGCGGGAGCUUACUAAGAACGGUGGAGCAUGUGGUUUAAUCCGAUAAUCCGCGCAAAACCUUACCAAUUUUAAAUAGAUGCUGCAUGGCUGUCGUCAGUCCGUGUCGUGAGAUGUAUUGUGAAAACAUUUAACGGACAGAACCCUCAACUAUAGUUGCUAAAAUUUAUCUAAAACUUUUAUUUGCAAAAAUUUUAAAGUUUUGAAAAAAAGAACUCUAUAGUAUUGAUAAAUAAAAUUUCAUUUUAUUUAUAUGAAAAUGGGGACGAAGGUAAGUCGUCAUGGCUCUUAUAAAUUGGGCAACACACGUGCUACAAUGAUAUAACAAUUGGAUGCGAAAAUGUGAAUUGGAGCAAAUCCUUAAAUAAUAUCUUAGUACAGAUUUUAGGCUGCAACUUGCCUAAAUGAAGAAGGAAUCGUUAGUAAUCGUGAAUCAGCACGUCACGGUGAAAUUUUUCUAAGCUU